rnacentral:rRNA from 1 species
GUAGUCUCGGCCCUAAACGAUGAUCACUAGGUGUCAGGGGGUUUCCCUUGGUGCCGCAGCUAACGCAUUAAGUGAUCCGCCUGGGGACUACGGCCGCAAGGUUGAAACUCAAAGGAAUUGGCGGGGGCCCGCACAAGCGGUGGAGCAUAUGGCUUAAUUCGAUGCAACGCGAAGAACCUUACCCAGGCUUGACAUGUAGCUGCAAGCUCCCGAAAAGGAGCCGCUUUCGAAGGUGCUACACAGGUGGUGCAUGGCUGUCGUCAGCUCGUGUUGUGAAAUGUUGGGUUAAGUCCCGCAACGAGCGCAACCCUCAUGUCCUGUUGCCAGCACGUAAUGGUGGGAACUCGGGACAAACUGCCCAUGUAAGUGGGA